GAGACUCUGUGCGCGUGCAUAUCAAUAAGCGGAGGAAAAGAAGCUAACAAGGAUUCCCCUAGUAACGGCGAGUGAAGCGGGAAGGAGCUCAAAUUUGAAAUCUUAAAGGGUUUCCCUUUACGAAUUGUAGUUUAAAGAAGUGUUUUCUGUUGGAGUUUCGGUAAAAGUUCUUUGGAAUAGGACAUCAUAGAGGGUGAGAAUCCCGUAUUUGGUCAUUCCUCCUAGCUGUUGUGAUACACUUUCAACGAGUCGGAUUGUUUGGGAAUGCAGUCCAAGAUGGGUGGUAAAUUUCAUCUAAAGCUAAAUAUUGGCGAGAGACCGAUAGCGAACAAGUACCGUGAGGGAAAGAUGAAGAGAACUUUGAAAAGAGAGUUAAACAGUACGUGAAAUUGUCAAAAGGGAAGCGUUUGACACCAGUGUUGUUUAGUUGAAAAUCAAUUCAAUAGUUUUUGAUUCUAAGUAGUAUUGACUUCAUCAGCUUGCUGCUUUCUUCUCAGAAGUUAUUGAAUGCACUUUUCAGUUAACAAGUCAACAUCAAUUUCUUUUGUUGUAAAAGGGUAAGAGGAAGGUGGCUUGCGCUUCGGCUCAAGUGUUUAUAGCCUUUUAUCUCUGCAAUCGGAGAGAUUGAGGUCUGCAGCGUAGGUCCUUCGGGGUUAGAUACAUUGGUGCUAAGCUAUAGCCUUGUAUAGACAACUUGUUGACUAUGCUCAGUCAUGUAGCUUACUCGCUGAUGCUAUUUUACCUACGCUUAGGAUGUUGACAGCAGUAUAGACUGU
rnacentral:rRNA from 1 species